AGGAAGUAGACGGAGACGGAACUCUAGUGGGAGUAUCUUCGAUAGAGAACAAACAGUUUUUAACGUUAACUGUUUUUAACGGUGUAAAUGUCCAGCUGGAGUCUGAAGAGACUUUAUUAGACAAUGUUUUAUAUCUUUAGUGUCUGCCGGAAGUUAAUGUUACCGUUAAUGCUAUCUACGGAGCUAACGGGGGAAAUGUUUGUGGACCACGCGACGAUGUUUGCAGCAGCCAGAAUCUUGAUGAGGAUUUUAAAGGACGAUGACCGUCUGCUGUUAACAUAGAUAGACUUUAUUAAUCCCUGAAGAGAUAUUGGGUCGUCAUAGCAGCCAGGACUGCGGAUCUAGGGACCACGGGUGGGAGUCGAACCGAGUAGCACUCUCAGUGGUAACGAACAAACCCACCGCACCGCAAUGUCCCCUUCACGCUGGGAGAUCUUCUCUCAGCGCUUUUGAGUCUUCACUUUGGAUGUUGGAGGUUCAUAAGGAUCGAUCCCACAACCUUGGACCUUCUGCAUCAUCUUUCAUCCCCCUGAGAUAUUGGAGGAGCUGGUUGAAGACUGGUUCUGAGACCUGUUCAGUCUUUCUGGUGGACACGUGUUUUAAAAUCAACCUGAGUCUCAUAAGGUUUGAACCUGCAACCUUACAAUCUAGAAGCAUUCAUUGAUCCUCCUGAGCUAUUGGUCAGGUAGUGGUCAACUUCGCCUUAGACCUGUCUGUGUGUGUGUGUGUGUGUGUGUGUGUGUGUGUGUGUGUGUGUGUGUUUGUGUGUGUGUGUGUGUGUGCGUGUGCGUGCGUACGUGCGUGCAUGUGUGUGUCUGUUUUAAGAUGAGGGAUAAGGCUGCUCAUUGUAGUUCUCAUUAUGUAAAUAUUUAUUAUUUGCAAGCAAAAAAAUGCACAACUUCAACUUCUUCAUCCGCCUUCAGAUAGAUAACAUCUAGGGCUGGGUAAAAAAAUCAAUGUAAUCGUUUUUGGAUCGAUUUCAUUUAAAUUUUGCAAUAUCGAUUCAUAGGGUGUGAGAUCGAUUGUUCCCCAUGAAGGUUUUUUUUUUCCCCAUGAAGUCUCGUUCGUGAUGACGCAGCAGCGCGUUUGCGUCAGGUUGACGUUCAAGUGAACAAGCGUGCAUACACAAAAUGACUGACGCAGGUAAAACCCCGCUCAGCAAGCCGUCCCAACUAAAGUCUGGAACCAUUUCGGAUUUAAAACAACAAAGGACAAAGAGCUGGAUAAAACCAAAGUGGUUUGCAAGAUCUGCCAAGCGGAGCUCAGUUAUUGUAAAAAUACUACAAACCUCAGAAAACACUUUACAAGGUAUCACACUACGCUAACGUUAGCUUCCGACAACAAGCCGUCCGGGGCAAAACAAAAGAAACUGAGGGAAUCACUAACAUUAGCAGCCGAUUCUCCGCGGGCCACAAAGAUAACAGAGGCCAUCGCAACUUUUGUUUGCAAAGAUUUACGCCCGUAGUGGAAAACGAAGGCUUCAAGCGGCUCAUUCAGGUGCUCGAACCACACUACGUUAUUGUGCAACACUUAAUGCAAUUUGCAGUGAUGGAACGUUGUAGAAAGUACACUUUCACUCGCAAUUCCUUUCUAAUUUCAAAAUUGCACUUUUGAGAUGUGAGUUUUGUUUACAGCUCAAGUUUAAACUGUCCAAUUUACAAGUUUGCACUUAAAACCUGUUGUUUAAGGUGAAGAGAAAAAAUAAAGUACAUUUGUAUUGUGUAACACAGUUGAGCCAUUUUCAUUAUUUAAGAGCAGAUUGAAUCGAAUCGAAUCGUGAUUAAUCGAUUCAGAACCUUAUGAAUCGAAAUCGAAUCGAUUUAGGAAAUUGGCCACGAUACCCAGCCCUAAUAACAUCACUGCUGACGUUGUGUACCUCUGACUGAUGCACAGGGUUUUAUUUUGAAAAAUGAAUGAAUGAAACCAUAAAAUAUGAGCAUAAGUUAACUCUUUAAUUAGUGCAGGAAAAAUAACAGCAGGCAAACACUAAAGAUCUAAAACAGAAUCUAAUCAGUCUUUUAAGGGACACUUUGUUUCCUUUCCUGGUGUGCAACAGGGAACACGUCACACAGUAAGGAAAGCUUUUCACUGCUGAACCUCUCUGUGAGUCUAAUAGACACACAGGUCGGGGAACUUUAUCCCGUAGAGAGGCGUUGAGCGAGGCGGCGAGUGUCCGGACGGAGACGGGGGAGGACGUAUGAUCAGAUCAAAGACCUGAUCCAGUUUAGACUGAAGCAAAGAGGUCUGGAAAGAGAGAAACUUUUAUUCACACGCUUAUCCAAACAUAGUGUGUCAAAGUAUCAUCGUCAGAGGUCAGAGGUCACUCACCCUGGCUCCACAGUGAGCCGCUAUUUCCUCAAACGGAGCCGUCUGAAACCUCUCCACCACCUGCAUCCUCCUCCUCCGCUCCUCCUCCUCCACACCCCCUCUGUCUUCUGCACAACACCAUUUCAGAAUAAAACAAAAGAGGACAGACCGUAACAAUCAAUCAAUCAAUCAAUAAAGACACUGUAGGAAAACAUAUUGUUUGUUUGUCAAUGUUUUGUUUAUUUUAUUCUCUGUCUAAAGGGGAAACAAUAAUAAUGUGUUGCUAUUGAUGAUUGUGGAAUCGAUCACUUACCGAUGGCGUUCUUCAGCGUCUCAAAAGUGAUCUGCUCCGUCUGAGGUUGCUACAGAACAGAGGGAUAUCAGAGAGACAGACAGACACACACACACACACACAGACAGACAGACAGACAGACAGACAUGUACCUGCUGUGUAUCAGGGCAGUACUGAGGGUCCAUGUCGAUCUGCAGAGAGAUGACAUCUCCAAUACUCUUCCUCUUAGACAGACGAUCUUCAUCUAAACACACAGUGACACAGUGUGAACUUGUAGUACUGCCAGUAAUAUGAGUACACAGUGUGUGGCGCCCCCUACAGGGUGUCUACAGACACUGAGAUGCUUCUGAGGAACAAAUCUAAAGAAAAGACGAGUGAGUAUAAGGUGUGUGUGUGUGUGUGUGUACCUGUUAGCUGAGGUGUGUAUGGCGUGUUGAAGCGUUCGGUGUGUGCGCUGUAGCUGCUUCCUGUCAGAGCCUCGCAGAUUUUCGAUUGGACGAACAGAAAAGUUUCAUCCACCAUCAGCUCACCCUGUGGUAGUCUGACACACACACACACACACACACACACACACACACAGAUUAUAAAUACAAUCAAUAAUCAGAUCAAAUUGAAAAAUCAAUAAUAUAUGAUAUAUUAUUUUUGAUUAAAGUCAUGAACACAAUUAAUCAAUAAUUAUAAUACAGUAAUAUAUGAUUCUGCCUAAUUGGGACUUUUACUUUUGGUACUUAAGUAUAUUUUGUAACUGAAGUAAGCUUUUGAAUAGUAAUAUGAGUAAAAGAUCUGAGUACUUCUUCCACCACUGUCCAGAUGUUACUUUAUCCUCCCUCCUGUAGCUGACUUUAACUUCAUCGUGUCCUCAGUAAUACAUACACAUUUGACUAAUAAGUGAUUAAUAUUGGUUAAUAGUCAAAUGUAAUAGAACAGUGGUUUGAAAUGGGGGUGUCUCUCUUUCUGUCUGUCUCUCUGUCUGUCUGUCUCUCUUUCUGUGUGUCUCUACCUGGGUUCAUCACAGAACACGUCUUUGGGCAGCAGGUGUGGAGCAUUCCCCUGCCGAUGCUCUAUGACCUGCAGACACAAAAUGAAUUAUGUAUAUCUGAUGUACACACACACACACACACACACACACACACACGCCUUCAUUACACACACACACACACACACACACACACUUUGUUUUCACCUGUGUGAUGUGUAGGUGGAAAGGUGGAGGCGGACCGAGCUGGGACAACAGGUUGAGGAAGGCGGCGCAGACAGCGUGAACGCCACAACGGUUAAACACUGACAAACACUCGUGAGGGGACAAUGCCAGCUCCUGAGCGGCCAAUCAGAAGAGAGAAAGGAUCAACAUUAUUAUCCUAAUUAUCAUUAAUAUUUGUUUAUAGCUUGUUAUAGCAGCUCUGCCUACCUGCAGGGCGAGCACCAGUCGGAUCAGGUCCACCACCACCUCCUCAUUGGCCAGUUCCACACUGAGGACAGCCAGCAGGGUGACGAGGGCCUGGUAGUGGCCCCGCCCACUGCUUUCCUCCUUACAGUUGAAACCUAUGACUGACCACAGACUGCAGUGGUGCAUCCCCCAGUCUACCUACAGGGACCAGUACUCCCUGAGCAUUGGUUCUGGAGUUGUGACCUGGCAGCGGUGAGUCUGGCGGCGUUGUGGCGUCUGUCGAUGAGCGAGGUGAGGAUGGAGAGGACCAGCAGACGGAUCUCCGGAUCCUCCAUCAGAGUGAAGGACAGCAGAGGCUCCAAGAAGGACGAGGGCAACGCCGUCAGAAGAUUACAGCUUUCAUAACGCUCCGAGACCUGAGGCAGGGAGGAAGAUGACAGAAGACUUUACACUCUUUCAUACACAUAUUCACUUCUUUACACAUACAGGGUUGCAUGGGACUGAAGUAUCACGACAACGUAAGACCACUGAUAGCGUUCAGUAGGAAAGUUGGGACAAAGAUAGUUCUGUAGUUGGUUCAGUGGGUAGUUUGGUAGAUAAGGAGGGGGGCUGGGUGAAUUCACCUGGAGGAGAGACUUCAACAGCAUCACCUGGAUCAUCCUGCUGCCUUCCAACCUGAGACAGACACACUGUGAGCACCUUAAAGCACAGUCAUUAUUACAGACUCAUUAUGUUUAAAGUAGGUUGUGAAAAUGGUACCCGGAGUUGGGCGACCCCAGGGCGGGGUAGAUACCAGGGACUGGGAUCUUCCCCAUGAUGAACAGCAUGACCUCUGACCUCUGGUAGAUGGGAAGUGUGUUGGCGAAGGAUCCUGGACAGACGACACAGAUUCAAAUGAAGCAGCACAUUGGAAACUGUUCAGUGACAGCAGGAAAAUAAAAACAGCCCCACCGAUAGUCUUGAUGACGCCGUCCUGCAGCGUUUUCUCUUCAGCCGACGUGGUUUCGCGUUUUCCGGUGUUGUCAUAGUAACCAGUCAGCUGGUAGUCGACGCUCUGUCUGAGCUGGCGCAGUAACGUGUUGAACACCUCCAGCACUGUGGGGCCUACGGUGCACACAGAGGAGGAUUAAAUAGCUCACAUGCACUAAUGGUAGGAUUCUAUUUAACGUACAGAGACGGCGCACACUGACCCACAGAUCCAGUAGCUUCUAUAACAGCAGCUUCAGACAGGACCUCUACGAUCCCGGCUCGGACUGAAGCUGGACUCUUGCUGUUAGCGUCCAGGUGACCCAACAGCUGCUGGAUGACCAGGUGUGAAUGCUGGGACUGAAGAGGAUAUACUGAAUAUACUGAGUUCAGGUAUCAGCUCAGAUAAGAGAAAUAAAGUUACAUACAUUUAAUCUUACAGUACAAUUCAGUUUAGUAAAGUUAUGUGCAGUCAAGUACAGUAAGUACUCCAAGUGUACUUACUGACCUGGAUGGAGUACAUGAUGAUCUGAAAACACUGAACAGCAAAGCUUCGUCCUUCCCAAAGACUGUGACUGUCCAGGUGCCUGAAAACACACACACAGGUUGACCAGCAGGGCGGGGACAAUCUGCUCCAUAUGACGCGGCUCCCAAAUGUUCACCUGCAGCUCGUCAUCCACCGUCUUCCUGACCACGCCCUGCAGACCACGGAUCCCCGACACACGGAUCCUGAACACGCAGACACACACACACACACACACACACACACACACACACACACACACAGCAUCAUGGAUAUUACACUGUAACCUGCUAUCAUGCAAAAUAACAUGAAUGAAUCAAACAAUACACAUAUUGUGACAGAAAAUGCACUCAUUUUACUUCAGAUACUUUUAAAUUCUAAUAAUUAUUAUCUAUUAAUUAUUGUUUUUAAAUUAAUCUCAAGCUCUUUCUUUCCCCUUAAAAUUCCCACAAUUUCAGAAACACCAAAUAAAUUAAUAAAUAUUCUUGUUUGUUUUUGGUUUAUUCUAGAUCUCGUGUGCAUAUAUAUCGUUUUUAACUUUUUCUGUUAUUUACUUUAUUACAGACAGACAGACAGACAGACUUGUUUUGGAUGUCGAGGUCUUCGUGUUCAGAGUGACACAUCUCACUGAAGCGAGACACGAAGAAGUCGUAGCUGCGAUGGUAUGACGGCGUGUCCUCCUCGAUGUUGGCAAACUUCACAAACUGCACCAGAGAGAACAUACGUUGUGUUGUACGUACAGAGCUGGUGGCGAGGAUGUGGAGGUGAGGUUUGUCGGCCUCCAGCAGCAGACGCAGCGUACUGAGGAAACUCUCCACCAGCAGGUUGAUGCUCUGACAGUGACAGGCCAGAAGCAGCUGCUCCAUCGCCUCCAUCGCUAUACACACAUACCUGGUCUUCUGGGAAAAUAUUAUCAACCAGCCGCUUGUAGCGAGGACGUAACGCCCAGCAGCAGCCGCACAGACCUGCAGACACACAGACAGAGUUCACGUUCACACCUGACAGACAGUUACAGUUAGCGGAGCUUACAGAGACCCCGCUGUGACUGAAAGGACGCAGGUUCAAUCCCUCCGAAUCUGUCCCAUACAAACAGAACGGGCUGUAAAACAUGACUUUAAUUUAAAUGUAAUACAUCGGUGGCUGUUCUCACGACUGCCGGAGCUAAAAGCAGAACUCAGCUGCUGUAUUUAUUUUAUCGGAUUUCUUCAGUCUUAUUAUUUUCAUUUAGAAAGUCAAAGUGUUUAGUUUUGUCAUUAUUUAUAUAUAUAUAUAUAUUUAUAUAAAUAUAAUAUAAUAUAGUUAACUUAUAUUUAAUAAAUAUAUUUUAAUAUAUGUAUAUAUUCAUUUUUGUUUGUGCUUAAAUGCUUAAAAUAAGUAUAAUUAAGUCAAGACUUUUAUAUUUGACAUAAUUUUAACUUGAUUCUCAUAAAUAAAAUUUUGACCAAUUUCUGACAGUAAAUCAAAUAUUUUCAUUCACAAGUCAUUUAAAAAAAUACUCAAACAUGUGUUAUGAUAGUUAGUUAUUAUCAUUUAUACUUCACAUUAUUUUUGUGUCUUUGUUGGAUUUUAACUAAAUAAACUCAAACUGGAAAAUGAACUACUUUUUCUAGCUCGAUUUAACGGAAACAAACAUAACCGGCUUGUUUAGUUCAAUUAAGUUUUACUUUGAUCUGGGUUUAAGACACUGGGAGAUAGUCCUGUCUUUAAGUCAUAUAGAUGGUAUUAUCAUUAGUUUGCCGACUCUACGCAGGCACCUUAGGACUUUGCGGUUGUUCAGAAGGAAAGCCCAUUCAGAUCUGCUAGACAUAGAAAUAUAUACAGAGCAAAAUUGACCCGGUACGGUAGAUAGUUGAAGAUGGGGCAUGUAUGUGCGGGCAGCAGUCACCAUAGGUCCAUGGGAGUCACUUGCAUGUUGGAGGUUCUCGCGGGAGUUCGAAGUAUCUCAAUAAUUCAGGAAAGAAAUUACUCCGAAAAACAGGAAAGAUUAUUCAAAAAAACAAACCAAAAAAUAAAUGACUCAGAAAAGCCGGAGGUUUUACUGUUCUAUAACUUUUAACAUUCACAUUAAAAUAAUAACAAUCCAAUAAUAACAGCACUCUGCUGUAAAUGUAAGUCUGAUUAUUUAUAUUAUAGCAGAGUUAAUCUGUAUUUAUAGCUCAUUGUUUUACAGUGUAAAUAUCUUUAAACAUUAAAAGACAAAAAUAUUACAAUCGUACGUAAAAUUAAAGCUAAAAACUUUUAAUUAUAGGAUAUUACUGAUUUUCUUUGUCCCUCCAGCUGCCAGAAUAUUACCGUUUUUAUUAUUUUCAGUUUAAAAACGUAUUAAAAUGAAUUAUUCAUCAUAAAAUAACAUUAAUAUUUAUAUUUCUACACCUGCAUCGACAAACAACAACUGCAUCGACAAACAACAACAGCAGCGCCACAACAUUCAGAUAAAUAAACACCGAAUAAAUAUUAAUAUUUCUCACCGUACAUGAAGACGACUCCUUCAGCUCACAUCCACACUGUCACUUCCCUCACACACGCACACACACGCACACACACGCACACACACACACACACACACACACACACGUUUGUGGUUAAUCCUUUACACACACACACACACACACACACACACACACACACACACAUUAAACCCACCUCCUUUCAUUCACCAUCAGAGCCAUAAACCUCGUAUUUCUGCAUUCACUGACUUUUGAAAUUCACAUCUCGGCUGUUUUUCUUUAUAACAGAUGAAUAAAUGACAUUUUGGAGAAGUUUUGAUGUUAAUAUGUGUGUGUGUGUGUCUGUGUCUGUGUGUGUGUGUGUGUGUGUGGGUGUGUGUGUGUGUGUGUGUGAUCUGGGCCAUGUGCAGCAGCUCAGCGCUCUAUAAUCUGCUCUGGAUUUAUUUAUCAUUCCAGCAGAAACAGGAAAAAAAAAAAAACUAUAUCAGAAACCUGCAGAAGUGAAGCUGAAAGAGCUCAGCUGAGUAAAUGUGCCCGUGUUCAUCACGUGUGUGUGUGUGUGUGUGUGUGUGUGUGUGUGUGUGUGUGUGUGUGUGUGUGUGUGUGUGUGUUUGUGUUUGUAUGUAUGUAUGUAUGUGUGUGUGUGUGUGUGUGUGUGUGUGUGUGAUAUGAGUUCAUCAAUUAUAGAAAGAAAUGGAACAGUACUAAUAACAGUACUAAUAACAGUACUAAUAACAAUACUAAUAACAGUACUAAUAACAAUACUAAGCACAUUAAUCAGUAAUCAAAGUACUUGUUUGUUAAUAGAAAUGAUGACUUCAUUUAUAGUUUCAUUGAUUUUAUAAGUGAGAAUUACUCUAAAUAUGGCAGUGCACAUUGUGGGUGUACUGACUGAAAUAUGUUUGUAGUAUUAGCUGCAGUAUCUGUAGUAUUAGCUGCUAUUAGCUGCAGUAUCAGUAGUAUCUGUAGUACCUCCGGGUGUCUGAUGGUCCAGCACAGAGCAGCAGUCCUGCAGCAGCCUCCGAGGAGCCUGGGAUACGGUCGACAUGGCGACGGACCCCGGCAGCAUCAUGCCCCUGGGUAGGCUGGGAAUGGUCACGCCUCGGGGCAUGCUGGGUAAAGUAGGUAAAGUGGGCAUGGUGAUGCCUCUGGGUAAAGUUGGGGGGUUGACGCCUCUGGGCAGGGAGCUGAGUAAGGCAGGCAUGGUGGGAAACCUGGGAAGAGUCCCCGGCAUCUCCGCGGCAACCUGGCGGCCCUCUGGCUGAAUUCGUCCUGAAGAAGAGGAGGAUGGAGCACUGGGACGAAGGAGAGACUCUGAGCAGGAGUGAAGGUGGAGAAAAAUGAAAAGCAGGAUUGAAAAAGCUUUUCCCUCCUUCUGUCUCCUCCUGCCUCCCCCCACAUUCCUCUGACUCUUAACCCCUUCAGUUCACAUCGUCCCUCAACAUGUAAAUGAAGUUCACUCAUACAAACACAGAGAUACUCAUCAGUGGGAGGAUUCCUCUGCUCACUACUGACACACCUGCAGAGGUCAGUGGUGGAGAAAUACCAUCUUGCAAAGCUUCAAUGUACAGUGGUACCAAACCAAUCAGUGUCCUGUGAGGAGCUACAGGCAGCUACAGGCAGCUACUGGCAGCUACUGGCAGCUACAGGAAGCUACAGGCAGCUACUGGCAGCUACUGGCAGCUACUGGCAGCUACAGGCAGCUACUGGCAGCUACUGGCAGCUACUGGCAGCUACUGGCAGCUACUGGCAGCUACAGGCAGCUACUGGCAGCUACAGGCAGCUACUGGCAGCGCUUAAUGCUAUGUAUGUGCACACAAACAACAAUGGUGGCUGCUAAAGAGGUUAGCGUAGCUGCUGCAAGCAUCAGUUCCAUCAGAAGUGGAGAGUAAAGAAUGGCACUGAAGGACUUUCUCAAUGGAAAAGACCUUUUCUCUCUUCUCCCGACUGACGUUACAUGGUUUAUUGAUCGGAUUGAUUGAAAAUGUGAAUGUGAAAACAUCGUAGUGUCAAACUGACUGGAGGGAUGUAUAACAGCAUGUAAAGAUACUGCGUUCAGAGCUGUUAGCAGCACUCAGAGUGUACUGAUGGAUUACUGCUGCAUUAAUGUGCACGCAGCAUUUUUAUACUGUGGCUGAUCGAGGUGGAGUUCAUUUCACUAAAGUAUCAUUAUAAUUAUUUAUUUAUAGGUUGAUCAAAUGUGUGUGAGAUCAAAUCUGCAAAUAACAAAUACAAAAUGUUCUCAUGUUAAAGGAUAUUUCCCUGUAAAAUGUGUUUGCAAAGUUUAAUGUACUUCAACAACACACACACACACACACACACACACACACACACACACACACAGAGCUCCUACCUGCUCGACUCCAGCGUUGCUCUCUUACAGUUGUUUCCCUUUGACAGACAGAUAGACAGACAGACAGCUGCUUAUGUAACAUCUGCCGAGCCUCUGCUGGCCGCUCAGCUCAGAUCAAUAAUCAAUAAGUGUGAUCGGUCCAGAGCUCUGCAGGCUGAGCCGUCUCUGACAUCACAGCUCGUGUUGUGGCCGAACUUUGUUCCAGGCUCAUCUUACUGUUUAAUGGGAGAAAUAUUACAGAUCCAAUAUUCACAUGAAUGAGUCCCAGCAGAGAACUGAGGCUUCAUUUUAGACACAUUCUAAUAUUUAUGUUCACAACAAGCGGCACAGAGGAGGAAAACAAGCGCUCCCUCCUCCCAGCAUGCUGCUGUGCUGACGGAGGAGCUCCCCCUGCUGUCUGAUGCUGCUUACUGCUGUCUGCCAGAGAGAGAGAGACCUACCUGUACCUGUCUCACCUGCUGACCUACAUCCAGGAAGGGUUCUCACCAAACCGCCUCCCUGAAAGCGCUCACAAUGUGUUCUGGGAAAUGUAUGAAAUCAGGCUGAGAGAGGAAACUAAUGAUGUAACAGCAGAAGAUGCCAAAGUUUCACAAAAAUGGCGUUUGCAAAUGUUGUCAAAUUUCCAGGCAGAAAAUGUCGGAUUAAAAAGGAGAGUGAAUAUUAAUUGGAUGGUGAGAAACACGACUCCAAAAGGUUCCUCAAAUACAACAGAAGGAAAAAGUAUUUCCAUCAUUGUCCCCUGUGUUUCUACAGUCCAACAACCUCCAUCAAGAUGGAGUCAGGCACUCACUGUGACAAUCAAUAUCUUUCAUUGAAGGUCAGAUGUUAUGACUGCUCCUUAAUUAAAGGAGAUACCUUAUGGCAACAGCAUUCCCAGCAUGAAUAGACUAUGGUGUCUUAGGAUUGCACUUCCUUAAAGUCGGGGUGGUCAAAAUCAAUGUAGCGGUGGCUGAGACAUCCAAAACCCAUCAAGCCUCCAUUUCCCACAAUGCAACUGUCCAUGCUUGUUAAAUGACUACAUCUUAGGAGUUUCCCUUUUAAUUUAUUAAUGUCAGAAACAGGAGGGAGAAAGACCUUGCUGUCAUUGCUGUAAACAGUACUAAUCAGUUAUCUGUGUGUGUGUGUGUGUGUGUGUGUGUGUGUGUGUGUGUGUGUGUGGGUGGGUGUGUCAUACGUUAGAUAUUUUUGUGUAUAUGUGUAUGUUGUUGGUUGUAUUGUUUUGUGGAAACUUCUUCAUGGCGUCCGGCCGAAUAUGAGAGUAAGUCGACAUUGUUUUACACUUGAUUCAGAGUGAAAUGUCCCCUAACCUCCAUGGACAUUUGUCAUUGAACAGUAAUCCAACUUUUAACAUGAAGACACUUAUUUCAACCCGUUGAUUCAUUACUUUUUAUCUAUGAUCAUCAUCCAUCACCGCCCCGGACUGACCCACAGCGAUGUCCUUACCACUUAAUAAUAAAUGUCUAAGCCUCUUGUACAACUGCUCCUACAGCUCUCAGACUGGAGUGUGUUCUAAGACGAGAGAGAGAGUUUGAUGGGAUUAAGAGUUAGGAGUGUAUAUCUGACUGAGGGGGCUGUUGUUACGGUAAAGGAGAUCUCGGCCAGCUGCAUGAGCCAUCAUAAGGGAUGGAGUCAGAUAAUAGUAAUAAAAGAACAGGCACGGCCAAGAGCUAUAUAUAUAUAUAUAUAUAUAUAUCAUGGCAGCACAAGAACAGGCCCUGGGUACAAGAGCCAUAGAGGCAAAGCUCUACAAGAGUAGAUCUGACCCAAGGUGCAGACUAUGCAAAGAUGCCCCUGAGACAGUCCAGCACAUAGUAGCAGGGUGUAAGAUGCUAGCCGGUUCAGCGUACAUGGAGAGACACAACCAAGUGGCUGGAAUAGUGUACAGGAA